rnacentral:rRNA from 1 species
CAGGUGCUAAUACCGCAUAACAGUUUAUGCCGCAUGGCAUAAGAGUGAAAGGCGCUUUCGGGUGUCGCUGAUGGAUGGACCCGCGGUGCAUUAGCUAGUUGGUGAGGUAACGGCUCACCAAGGCCACGAUGCAUAGCCGACCUGAGAGGGUGAUCNGCCACACUGGGACUGAGACACGGCCCAGACUCCUACGGGAGGCAGCAGUAGGGAAUCUUCGGCAAUGGACGAAAGUCUGACCGAGCAACGCCGCGUGAGUGAAGAAGGUUUUCGGAUCGUAAAACUCUGUUGUUAGAGAAGAACAAGGACGUUAGUAACUGAACGUCCCCUGACGGUAUCUAACCAGAAAGCCACGGCUAACUACGUGCCAGCAGCCGCGGUAAUACGUAGGUGGCAAGCGUUGUCCGGAUUUAUUGGGCGUAAAGCGAGCGCAGGCGGUUUCUUAAGUCUGAUGUGAAAGCCC